UGAAUUAUCCCUUUCAUUUCUUUAUUAACAAUAACAUCUCAAUGGCAUUUUCUGUAAAUUUGCAACAAACAAAUGUACAGUCUAUUUUUGAUUACAAGGUUAGAGAACAUUUUCAACUCAGCCUCGUUAAAAAGUGCUUAUUUUAAAAUAUGACAAUCUACUGGGUGUUUACAGGAGACGAGAGGCGCUGAUUGGGCCAUGGUAAAUCGACGCGUAAAACCACCAAUCACAGCGUGCUUUUCUCGUGACGUAGGGACAUUUGAAAUUGACGAACAGCGCGAAUGGUGGUUGAAGAAAUUGGCACAAAAUGUCCCUGGUCUGAUUGUCUUUUUGACAGAAAAAGCGAGUAGGCUACGGACUCGUUCACAAACAGAGUCGCGGCAGAUACAGAGUUGUGAUGGAGGAUGUUUUACCCGCUGGGACAGUUUGUGGCCCGAACAACAGAACUGUCUCCUGGUCAACGGAACUCUGCCUUCAACAAUAAAUAAUGGAAUAAUCCAAACGGCCUACUUAAAUAUGGACACUGAUGAUGCAACAAAAAGUCUUCAUUUACAACAAAGGCUCUGAGGAAAAAUUCUACACACAGACGCUCUACACACAUAGACGGCUCAAUGCUGCUAACUGGCAGAGCAGCUGGAAAACUAAAAGACAAGAAAACUAGAACAUUAAUACGGAUGACUGUAUUAUUUUUCUGCAAGAACCAGGUCAAGCAAAGACAGUGAUGAGCACUCAGAGCAAACACAGCAGUCAGACGCAGGAUUACACACUGGACUUUAGAGUUCUUCAACAUGUGAUGUUGGACAUUUACUGUUUCUAGAAUUAAUAAUUUAUGUGGAUGCCAUUUUAUAGACCUGUUAGAUUUUGUUUUAUUUUUGAGAUUAAUAAAAUUGUAUGUUAUAGCUUUUUCUUUCUUUCUUUUUUCUUUUUUGAAUAUUUAGGAGAACAUUCUGGGAACAAAAAUAAAACUUCCUGCUAAAAAACUUUAUAAGAAUGUUAGAGGAUGAUGUUCUAACAAUGUUAUGACUAAACAUUCAUAGAAGGUCAUCGCAAAACUUUUUUAGAGUGUUUUGUAGAGAAUGUUAUCUUACCUUUUAGAAGAACAUUCUAAGAACAAAAAUAAAAUUUCCCACU